rnacentral:rRNA from 1 species
GACAGAGGGUGCAAACGUUGUUCGGAAUUACUGGGCGUAAAGCGCGUGUAGACGGUUCGUAAAGUCGGAUGUGAAAGCCCUGGGCUUAACCCAGGAAGUGCAUUCGAAACUCACGAACUUGAGUCCCGGAGAGGAAGGCGGAAUUCUCGGUGUAGAGGUGAAAUUCGUAGAUAUCGAGAGGAACAUCUGUGGCGAAGGCGGCCUUCUGGACGGUGACUGACGCUGAGACGCGAAAGCGUGGGGAGCAAACAGG